CUUUAUCAGGUGAUUAUGCUAAGGAAAUUCCUAACCAAUCGAUUUUGUUCUGCGCAACUCAUAUCUAAGAUUUAGUCUCCUAUUGCAGCUGGGAAAAUAAUUCAAAGCUGAAAUUGCCAGCCUGAGAUAAACAAGGAACUGACAAAGAUGAAGUUGAAUCAGAGAAACUAGAGAAAGGGAUCCGCGACUACGUCAUAGAGACGAUAAAGAAACGAGAAAAUGAAGGAAUCUCAAGAAAUGAUUUUCUUGGGAAGCUGUUAGAAGUUAAUGAGGAUAAAGAUGAAAAUAGUAGGAUGUCAUUGGAAGAUAUAGUUGAUGAAUGCAACUACAGUCAGAGAGACGAGAGCACCAACAUUAUGAGUAGAUGCAUGAGCUCUCAGUAGGAUGCCGUGGAAUUGCCUUCCCAAAUUCAUCAUGGCAGGUUGAUCAACUAGUUAUUGAGAACUUGAUGCUAGAACAUAUAGUAUGAUAGAUUUUCGUUUAUUCGGAUGAUAAUGUAUGAAUAUUUUGGAUAAUAUAUAAUAUUGUUAUUGUUGGUUUUA